rnacentral:rRNA from 1 species
UUUUAUAAUUUUUUUUUAUGAAAUUUAUAUAUAAAUUAAAUAUAGAAAUAAAAUAAAUUAUUUUAUUGGGGUGAUAGAAAAAUAAAAAUAACUUUUUAGUUUUAUUAACAUUAAUAAGUGAAUUAUUGAUCCAUAUUUUAUGAUUAU